ensembl:lncRNA
CCACAUGGGACCACUGCCAGGCUGAGGCCCCCUUCCAGGCCUCCCUGGACGGCCCACGUCACUCCCUGCCUCUGGAAGGGGACUUAGAAACAUUUUCAGGAGGUGCUUCUGACACGGUCUGAAAAAAUGGGAAGCUCUCAGCACAGUGAUCCACAUUGCAGCCUGGUAACAAUCAGCAGGACUGGGUAGUCACUGCCCCUCUUCAGGUGGGGUCUGUGUCCUCCAGGUGGCCAGACUGCCCUGCCUGGCCUGGUGCCUGUGCAUUCUGUGUGUGAGAGCUCUGGUGUCGUCCUUCCUCACCCUCAUUCCACACACAUCCAUUGUAUAAUGGGAAAGUGAUGGCUUUGUAAUGGCUAGGCUGAACUACAUUUCCCCGAACUCCCUUACUUGUCUGUUUCCCAUUAGGGUGAGCCACAAGGCAUGUUCUUGCCCGAUUUGGAAGGAAGGAACCAUGUGGGUUGCUGAUCUGCUGAUUUACCUCCUUGGUGUGAAGCAGCCCCUGGGCCUGCAAUUACUCUACAUUCCCUGGAUUCUCCUUCAGUUUUACUGACUCCUGGGCCAGGUGUGUGCAUGGUUAGCUGUGUGACAAAGGGUCUCAACUUCUGCAGGAUACCCUCAUCACCAAGGUCAAAGGCAACAAGCACCAACACAAGUUUCAGUCCAUCCUGGUGUUCCAGCUUGUGCCGGUGGUGUUUCAGCCUGCUCAUGUUCUUCCCCUCCUGACUGUGUACCUCAGACUCCAGCAUCAGUCACAAAGAUUCAGGCUUACAGAAACUGCUGCGAUUGUACGUCAAAGUUAAAGUAAAGUAGCCAGUUAGCAGCAAAAGGAGUUGAUUCAGGAAUAACCAGAGGAAUUGCAAUUCAGGAAAUGCAAGCUAAGGCAGACGGUAGGCAAAUCAGAGAACAAAGGUGGAGAACUUGCUUUUAUAGAGAAAAAGGGGGAGUUGGGUGGGGCUGUUCUAAAGGAAAGGUCAUUGGAGGAAAGUAAGAGUUCAGGGUGGUGACAGCUUCUCAUUGGCUCAGCUGUUGCUGGGCAAGGAGAAAACCUUCCUUCCUCCUGCUGGAGUAGUAAAGUAAUUGCACUUCCUGCCCAAAAUUGUAAAGUGAGAAGAUAUGUGUGUCAGUUUCCCUUAGAGGGUUUCCUGACUCCGUUUUAAAUGAGGUUUCCCUUUAUUGUCACAUGUACGAGCCAGUUUCCUGUAACCAGUCCAGUAUUUAGGUGUGUAUGUGCCUAUAUCCUUCUGGGUCUGCUUCUCCCUUGAACUCUGACUGACAUGGGAACUUGAACACCUGCUGACUUUUCCUGCCUCAUGUCCUGUCAGUCUACUUGCUGCUUUCACCAUUCCCCAAUUCAGGAGCUUUUCCCCUACUUUUUUCCUGCCCUUCCUUUUUCCCUACCCGAGAGCCUGUGCCAGUGCUGCUCCAGCCUGGAAUGUCCCUACCCCAAAGCUGCUGGUUUAUCUGUCCUCAGGCACGUGGCUGAGCUCCUCGAGAACAGGGAGUAGGUGUGAUAGGUCCCCAUCCCUGCUUCUGCUCAACCAGGAUGUGCUGAAUGAAUGACUGUGGACUAGGCCCUUGACGUAGGAGAUUUCAUUCCUUUCUCAGAAUACCUCUGCAAGUAUCACUGCCCUCAUUUGCAAGUGCAAGUGGCCCCAGUAGCAGUUGCUGUGGAAAGAACCAAGGCCUCUUGGCUGCCUCAUGACUGCUGGAGCUGCCAGAACAGCUAAUGUGCCCUCUGGCCACAUCACCCAAGGUCUGAUGCCUGGGACAGAGAGAUGUCAGUACCCCUUGUGCCCAACAGGUUGUGUGCUCAGUGCUAAGCCCGGCCGUGGCAGAGGACAGGUUCAGCUAGGUUGGUGCACGAGAGUCAGUUGGGUGCAGACCCCAUUCUAUGAGUCGCUAAAGCUGCACAGCCUGGAAAAGGGCCUUUUCAGUGGCUGCAGGGCUGUCUCAGGGCCAGGGAGAAGUCGGAUCUAGGGACCCAGAAGGUAGACCUGAGAUCCUGAGGGGGUUCACAGGGAGGCAGUUCCCAGUUCCAUGAGAGGAAGGAGGCAGUAUUGCAGGAGGAGAGAGCGCUAUUCCCAGGGGGAUGUGAGGGAUGGAGGUAGGAAAACCUGGAGACCCUGGUCAGAGGCUCUGUGUUCAGAUGCUCUCUGGUUAGAUGAAAAAAUAAACCUUUCUUGGCUCCAUUUAUAGAUGAGGAAAUUAAGGCUUGGGGAGAACACUCUUGCCCCAGACCAAAAGACCAUGGUGGAGCCAGGCCCAGAACCCUGAUAUCAGCCUCCAGGGCCUGGUCCUGCUUGACCCCUCUCCUGAUCAGUGGGCAGAGAGGUGUCCAGGCCUGGCCCAUUGCUAUGCCCCUAUUUUACAGACAAUCAAAUGCACCUGGUCCUUUCCUUCCUCACUGCACCAGGGUCACCUCCUCCAGGAAGCCUUCCUACUGGGCCUUGCGGUGUCAUGUGCCGCCAAUGUUCACCUGGAAUGAGGCUUCUUAAGGCCAAGUCCAAGAGACACAGUGGGCUCUCCCUAUGUGUUGACAAAGAUGGCCACUGGCAACUGUGGCCCCAUGUCCCUACCCUUUUAGUGAUCCUGAGGGAGAGAGCACCUCUUUCUCAGUAGUUCCAGGAAAAGUCCCAGGAUUGACUCUCAUUGAAGCCACUGGAGUCAAGAACUCAUUUUUGACCCAGUCAUUGUAGCAAAUUGAAUAACCAACUGAAUGCUCAUUAGCCAGGUCUUUGAUUCAUGACCAUCCCUGGGACUGGAGGGGUCAGACUCCCAGAACCAUGUGGCCUGAGUAGGGUGGGUUGGGACCCCAGAGGAAAAUUAAAGUGCUCUUCAUUAUCAGAAGAGUGGGAGGCCCCACUGAGGGCUGGCCCACUGGGUGGUCCAGCGCGUCUGGAGGAGGCAGGCCUUGGGGGAGGAAACAGCGAGCUAGCCCAAGUCUUCAAGGAAUGGAGAGGGGGUGACAAGAGAGAGGUGAGGGGCAGCAGCAGCAAAGUAGGAGGCCACUGGAAGAGCCAAGAGGUCUGAGUAGCAAAGGUAGAUUUUGGUGGGAAAUAUGGAAAGGCAAUGCUGAACAAGAAUGACCUGAAGGACAUUUUGGAGCCCUGGAGCUCAGGGAUGUCCUCAAAGGGCCGUCAGUCAGCAGGGUGGGGGGCUUUGGUUAGGGAGGGCUCAGAGAAAGGGGUGAAGGUCAGUGUGAAUGGUUGGGCAGGAAGGAGCAGUGUCUACGUGCCCAGGUCCCCUGCAGCAGCGCUGCCCAACCCUCUCUGAACCUCACAGCCACCUGAGAGAUGGUCAGAAAGCCAAGUCUCAGGCCCCAGCCUCAGACUCUAACUUGGAAAACUGGGGUGAGUCCAGGUGGCAUCUGGGCUUGGGUUUCUGGUUUAGAAUGGGAUAGAACCUGUGGGAUCACAUUUAGGUGGUCCAGAGCACCAUUCCCCAGAAUCCUGAGUAGGCCAAGGUCUCUCAUGGCCUCUACCUGCAGGUGGCCUAUUGACUGGCCCUGCAGGCUGUGUGGGACAGGACCUGUGCUGGCACAGGGCACAGUGCCCCCCAGUCAAAACUGCAAAGGAGAUGAAGCUGCUAGUGAUCAGCAUGUGGCCAGGACAUAGGCUGCCAGGAUGGGUAGAGCUGUCACCCGUUGUCCACCAUAGUCCCUCUGUGUCCAACCUAGGCCUCCUCCUGCCUGCUUUCUGGAUGCCCACUGUUGCCCAGAACCAAAACAUCCACAGCAAAGUCUGGCAUCGCCAUUUCCUCCUUUGCUGUAGCCAGUGCCUCCUGCCGCCAUCAGCCACGGGUCUCCACAUUCAGGGCCCCAUCUGAACUUUUGCCUAGAGAGCAGUGAUGUGCUGAGGGGGGCAUCUGUGACGUGUCUCCCCCACUGGCUGGGGGGGUUGGGCAGGGAAGGCACUUGCGCUGGUUUUGUCCACUGCCCUGUCGUCUGAGCCCAGCACACAGCAGGGCAGGUAAGACUCACACUGGCACCUGGCCCUGCAGUUAGUUCGCUGAGGCAGCAAGCAGUGAGGAGCGCCCAGCAGGAUGUGAAGAGACCUGAAGAGGGACUAGAGUGGCCACUUGCUGUGUGUGGGAAGGGGCCAGCAGGGAGGUAGGUGGGUGAUGGGUCUGCUCUGUGACCCCACCAGAGAUGUGCCAGGGAGGGAUAGUAGCUGCCAGGCCCGGGUCAGGGGUACUAGCAGGCCAGGGGCUCUUCUCCAGUGGUGCUCCCUGCCCUCCCUACUCCUCCUCCAAGCUAUUGCCCUUCCCCUCAUCACCAGUAGUUUCUUACACAGGGAUCAAAAGAGAUCCCCUGCAGGGGCUGGCCCCGUGGCCGUGGCCGAGUGGUUAAGUUUCCGCGCGCUCCGCUGCAGGCGGCCCAGUGUUUCGUUGGUUCGAAUCCUGGGCACGGACAUGGCACUGCUCAUCAAACCACGCUGAGGCAGCGUCCCAUAUGCCACAACUAGAAGGACCCACAACAAAGAAUAUACAACUAUGUACUGGGGGGCUUUGGGGAGAAAAAGGAAAAAAAAU